rnacentral:snRNA from 1 species
AUCGCUUCUCGGCUCAUUGAGCUAAGAUCAAAUGUGUAGUAUCUGUUCUUAUCAGCUUAAUUUCUGAUACACCCCUCAUGUAGGGGUCGGAAAAUUGAACUGAUUUUUGAACCAUGGCUGGAGGUUAGGGGCUUGCCCCGCUUCGGCCGCGGUCGACCUGGCAUUGCACUAUCGCCAGGUUCGGCUUUUUAUU